UCCUGUGAGGAGACAGUUCCUUUCAGAAGUUUAAAAAUCUUUUUUUUCAGAUACCUAAAAACCGACAGCUGAAGUUUUCAGAGAGAUUUGGCCACCUGGCUCACAUAAAAAUGUAUGAGAGGUAGGCAUCCAAAUCCCUUAGUCAGCUUUGAAAAAUCUCAACCAAAAACUUUCUGAAAUUUCAAAAGCUGUCCUGACUCAAGAGCCAAGUUCCCCAUCCAAGCAACUCCGCAACAGCAGCUGCAGAAGGUAUGAGGUGUGGAUCUCAGUGGGAGCAGGAGUCCUCUACACGUCAAAAGUGACGGCAUGCUCCAAUGUGAUAUCGAAACUUCAGGUAUUCGGGGAGAAGAAAAAAGGCCCUCUUGGACAGAGUUUUACAGGACGUUGUUGCAACAAGGCACACCCACCUUGGCCAGCAGCGUGAAGUCCUUGUUAGAACAGAUCUGCUCACAUCUGUGCUCACAGAGCAAGCAUUUUCUUUCCUAGCCACAAUCCAGAGAUGGCAGAGGAAGAGUCAGAAGCCCACAACCGAGGAGCAUGGAGAGAGCAAGGUAAGGAAGAGAGACCAGGGCUUAAAACAAAAGGUUUUUUAUUGUCUUUAAUCAAAGAGUAUGGUACAGAGGAACUACACAGAGGCUUCGUUCAUUUUUUUUUUAAAGGAGCCCUUUAUUUACACAGGUGUUCCGCAUCACCAUUUGGUAGCUAAUCCCACCUUUGCAUUUUGCUGGUUUGGUUUUGUUAGUGAUUCCCACCUAGUUGAACGUAAGAGUCAGUCAGUUCGAUGGCACAGUGAAUGUGCUUCUGGGUAGGAAAAAAGGAACACCCUCUAAAAACCUCCCCGAGUAUUCCACUGCAAGGAGUCCACCAGAAUACUUACACCCAAACACUGACAAAAGGGAGCGUGCUUUCUGAAUAAAUUUAACAUCCUGAUCAUUCUCAGCCUUCUUUACUCCCCUACUUAAGGAAAUAUACCCUGGACGUGCACAAAGUUGAUGCAUGAAGAAAAUGUAGAGGUUUAUUUAAAAUUGUGCUUUAUUUAAAAAAAAAAAUACAAUCAGACACUGUCCUGCUGUGUUUCGGAAAGCAUGACAAAAAUGUAGCUUAUUAUUAUCAUUAUUAUUAUUAUUAUUAUUUUGUCAUUAUAUUAAUAAAAUUAAGAUUUUGCUUAUGGUUUAAAUUGCUUCCCCUCCCCCAUCUUUCUCUGCGAUACAUGAUAUAUAUAUAUAUUUAAAAAAAGCUCUCCAAUGACCAACAGAAGUUUGACCAAUAAUAAUAAUAAUGAUAAUCAUACAAAUUUGUGUGUGUAAAAUAUGGCUGGUUCUCAAACUAUCAAUGUACAGCCUUUCCCCCCGCCCUUCCCUUGAGCUGCCCAAGAGACCAUGGAAGAAUCUUGUCACGGAACCUCUCUGAGAAAACCCCCCCUCCCAAAAUCUAAAAUCAAUAUAGGACCCUUGAGAUUGUUGUCUUUGGUGUGAAGGGCAUUAACCAUGGGCAGCGAAAGCUGGUCUGCAGAAGAUGCUGUGGUUGCAUAAGGCUGGUCACUCAGACUGUAGAAGGAGCCCCAGUUAGGCCAAGCGUCAUCGAUGCUUUGGUAAGAUUACCAGCUGCCUUAUCUCCCCCUCCCCCCUGUUAUUCCAGAAAACCCUCCCACUACCCCCACCCGGCUUCCCAAACUUUCCUCCAUCUCUGGGUUUUACGCUCUCUUUCGUCUCCCUUCGAGAUUCCGGAAGCUGAUGGGUCUCAACUUCAUUUCUGCAAACUGGAUGGAGUAUUCAUGGCCCUUCCAAUGGAACCAGUUAACACCCUGCAAAAACACACAGGCAACAUGACCUCAUAUUAGUACAAUCUGCAUCCCUGGCUCUUAUACAGCGCUUUUCUGCCAUAGAUCACAAGAGCAGUGAAAUGACUUGUUCAAGGUCACCUCAAGUAGGCUAGCAACAGAGCCAAGAACGGAAGCCAGGUCUCCUGACUGCCAGUCUGGAUCUCUAUCAACUAGGCAAUGCUGCCUGUACAUGUAUUAUUCUAUUCUAGAACCUCAUAACAGAGAGGUUGCCGUAUAUAUUAUUCUCCAGGAUUUCUGCAUUAUAAACUCAGACUGUAAAGCAGGAACGGACCAUUAUAAUCAUCUCAUCUGACCCAUGCAACCCAGACUAGAAUUUCACGCAGUGAUUCCUGCAUCAAUCCCAAUAAACUGUGGUUGAAUUAGAACAUCUCCAAGAGAUCUCCAACCUCAAUUUAAAGGCUGGUGAAGAAUUUACCAUGUCCCCUGUUCCAACUCCAGCUACAACAAUCUGUGACUAGAACAGCAGUGGGUUCCCCACAACUUUUGUCCCUGAGACCAGCUCCUGGUGUGGGAUUAAGGAGGCGGUAGUCACUUUGAGAUCCAUCAAAGCCAGUGUUCCUAUGCCAUUCCUUUUACUGACCCCUGCUGGAGGAAGCAGCGGCUUGGGCUAGAGUAACAGUGAGCUCUCCCAAAACUGUCACUCCUUCACUGUUCUCUCCUAGGUUUACUUCAUUUUCAACAAAAUGCUCUUUUCUUAAAACAUGAGAACCUGUAUUUGAAGUGAUAAAAGCUCCAGCCCCAAACAUUCCCGUAAACUGUCAUGGGAGAACGAACAAAGAAGGUUGAGAACAUAUUUCGACCGAACUGCAAUUCUCAUUUGGUGAAUGUGAUUUAAUAUAACUCCCCACCCCACGAUUCAUUCAGUUUUAAUGGUGGGGUUUCUCCUAUCUCUCUGAAGCACUAUAUAUUGGCCACAACAAGGGACUGGCUAACAGAAUGAACGAACCAGUGACUUGAUUUGGUAUGGCCACUCCUACAUUCCCAUGCUUUGAGGAUCGUUACGUAACGUUGCUUUCAAAUGGCAAACUCACCUGACUGUGGCUGUUGUCCCCAUAUCUGCCCAUCAAAUUGACUCGGUGACAAUUCUUGUACCAGAAAGCACCUUUGUAGGACAAUGCACAGUUUGUGAUGGCAGCGUCAUUGUCCUUAUCAAAGGUGGAGAAGGACCGUCCAUUGUGAUAGAUCAUGGAGUCACCUAUACAGGAGAAACCAAGAGAAUGGUGUCAGAGUUUUCACCUGACUUCUAUUCUGCAUGUGCAAAUGAUUCAAUGGUUAGGGGCAACUCUGAGUUUUUGGGCAUAAAAUACCUUGGUUGCUCCUGUAGAAAAACCUGGCGGUGCAUAUCACAAGUUUUGCAGAGACCACUUUGAAACCGUGGUCCUGACUUUCACUUGAAAUGCUAUUUGCCAAUAAAUAAAGGAGAGAUGCGCCCACACUGUGAAUUUUGCCUCUGUAUCCAGAUUCUGAACCCACCACAAGCUUCUUGGGCUUCAGAUCUGGGGGUUUGGUUCAGGCCCAUCUCGGCUAAAAAUAAAUACCAAAAGUAAACGAAGGCCAGUCAACGGAGCUAUGCUGAUCUACAUCAGCUGAACAUCUGACCUAAACAUAAUUGGUGUGUAGGCUUAAAAAAAAUGACAAAUGUAUACAUUUUAAAACUCAGUAGUUUAAAUGGAUUCCCCGUUCACUCACUGCACUUGCUGAAUCCAAGAUUCAAACCCUCAAGGUGCAGCGUUUCUCUGGUUGGAAUCAAUGUUAUAUUGUUUAACAGCUGCAGCAGAGUAGGGCACUACAUUCCUUAUGCUAUUUUAGAUGUUAAUAACGUUAUCAGGAGAAACAAAGAACCCCUGAGACUUAACUUCAGCCUUGGCAGAUGCUCAAUUGCCUUUCCGCUUACCUCUCAAAAAUGCACUCAUCAAAUUUAAUUCUAUGCAAUGUGUCCUUUGGAUCUGACAACUCCACAACUGGCUGAAGUGAAUUUGAUCUCCACGGUCACUUCUACGGCUCUGUGUAAAAUUGCUUUGGGGCCAAUUGUCUGCAGUUCGUGCACUCGGGGCUCAAUCCUGGUCCCCUGUCCAAAGCCAGAGUGAACAGACAGUGCAGGGGGCUCUUUGUGUAGGUCACUAAUGGAACUGAGUCUCCCCUUCAGCUGGUGGCACAGCAGUGAUGCUGCUACUGUAACCCAUGAGCUGAAGCAGCAGCCUCUACCUCAGUCUGUUUGCCCUACAUUGGGGGAGUUUAACUAUUGGAGCUGCAUAAUUGCUAAGCCAUUGGCCACACUCCUGUCCCUGCUACUCAGCUAUCCAGAGAGCCACCAUGGACAGCUUCAAGGUGCAUAGUCCCCAGAGAGUUCUUUCUGUGGCCAUGCACAGCAGAAUCACAGUAUUUCUCUUUUGUUUAAGCCCUUACGCUCCCAUGCCACAGGAUUUAGCCCUUGGUCCUUACUCUGUCAACACUGAAGCCAAAGAGAGGGCUGGACAUGGUCUGCAGGCCUGUGCUUAAUGGGAUUGAAGGAGGCAAAGGCAUUCUUCAGGAACAUCAUCACGCACGUUCUAACAAGGCAUCAGCAGCACAUUCUUCACAAAUGGCACUGCAGCCAGCUAUCCUAAGCCCUAUUAAUGACAGAAAGCUCUUGGCAAUCGCUUACCUAUCCAGAAUUCAUCCUUGGGAUCCCCAAACCCAGCAGUCUGGAAUAAACUUUAUCUAGGGGUAACUCUCAAGAAAAUGCAUUUCAAAGGGUGACUGGACUAUAAAAGUGAGGGGCAAAAUACCCCAAUUCAUCUCUCAUUCACCUAAGACGAGAAAGGAACCAGCCAUUUGACUCUGAGGGGAGAUCCUGACCUGAGAAUUUGGUCAACCAUGUUGCUGGAAACGUGACAUCACCACUUCCAUGGAAACACUGCCAGAUACUACCUCCUUGCAAUCUUCCUUUUGUUUGGAUCACAAUCUAAACAAAACCCAGUCACAUAUCCUGCUAUUUCCAUGUGUCUUGUAAAUAGCUGAUGCAUCGAAUCCCCUCUUUGCAUGCAAUCUGUAAAGGGAGAAUCAAUGCUACGUCCCUUCAAAAGCUGGAUGGGGAACUGUCCAUGCUACAUAACUCAUUCCAAAGCAACAGGAGUUUUGUCCCAUGCAGAAAAUAGUUUCAGAAGGAAGCCAUCUCUCAUGAAGCCUGGCAUUUCUGCAAUGGAACUGCAGUACAAGAUGAAACCCAGAAUGUCAAAGCAGAAAUGAGAACAUAUGGAUAAUAAAAUCCAUAGAAAAUACCUGUGGCAGCUAGAGCAUCCAGUGACUGAGAGAGCUGACCUUGAGUGCUUCCACGGAGAUUAACCAGGUCAUUCUAAACUGCAAAUAUACCAUGAUCCUGGGUGGAACAACUAACAAAGUGGACCAUGAUUAGGGACCCCUUAGUUAACAACUGAAAGGAUGUACCUGUUGUAGCCACAGCUUCAAGAGGAUGGGAGCGCUGUCCUCCAAUCAUUCCGUACACCUUGAUUUUAUAGGAUGUGUUAGCCUGGAGGCCAUCAAUCACAGUGCCUAAGGAGUCUCCAGGCAUGAAGACUUCUGCAAGGGGCCCAGCUGCCAAUGCCACCUCCUUGUACUCCACCACAAAACUAGUGUAGGCUCCUGAGUCCGCCUUCCACGAGAGACUAAAGCCAUGCGCUGUCACAUUGGAGACCACAACAUCCCUCAGCGUAUCCUCCCCCAUCCCAGAAGCCUCUGAGCUCCCAGAUCCAGAGUACUCAUCUGGGCCAGGAGUCGCCUCCCACUUUAGAUCUAGACUAUGUGUGGCUAUAAAGAAACAAACAAGCAAACGGUAGAAUAUGAAAUACUUAAUUCCUUCCUUUUUUUCAAAAGAACAAAAGUCAAUGAACUGUGCACUUCAUACUUAUUACCAUCUAAGCAGAUUUUGAAACCAGGACCUUCAGCACCAAAGCACAAACCUCUACCACAUGAGCUAAAGGAUCCAUUCCGUUACUUGGUAGCAGUAGUUCACUGUUAUCCACUAAUGGGCUGGCCACUGAAGGAGAUUGUGACACACACUCUUUGCCAGCGUGCUACACAAUUUGCAAAGAUUUUUAAUUUGUGUGUGCGCGCUUGCGUGCAAAGGGGGUGGAUGUUGUUUAUAUUGUCAGGGGGAGAUUGAAGAAAGUAUGAGGGAGAACCAGCCAGACAUGCAACACAUAAGAAAAUAAUGUCUUCAGCUCAACAGGAGCAAUGCCUAUCUUACAGGAUUUCAGUAGGAGAUAAUUGACAGAUACAAACAAAAAAACCCUGCAAACCAAACCAAAGGCUCCCUGACCUCUGCAGGCCUGACUGAACAAACAGAAGUCAGGGAGGAUUAAGGAGAAAGACUAAAAUACACAACAUGGGUAAAAGAAGGGAACUUUGAAAGCAAAUACUCCCUGCCCUAAAGCAGGUUGCACUCUAUAAGCUGCAUGUGAAUUGGUUUCCUUUUUUUUUGUUUGUUUUUUUCCAGUGAGGAGGACAAAUCUCUCUUUUAAUGAACGAGUGUUUCCAAGCUGCGCCCCUGGGUUCCUCCGCUGCAUCCUUCCUAGAAUACAAAGAGCUAGUUCGGUCCUAGUCAUGCUCCUGGUGCCUUCCACUUGAAUCAGAUACUCUCUGCUCCCUGCUGCUCAGAGCAAGCACUCCCCCGCUGCCCCGUGGUGAAACGGCGCAAAAGCCAUCUCUCGCCUGAGGCAGAGUGUGAGAGCUAACAAGAUUUGUUUUGCUUGGCCUGAGGACUGGAGGAUCUCACACACGCUGGAACAUGGACGGAAUCAUGAAAGCAGCAAGCCCCCAGUUCACAUAUCCACAAGAUCUUAUUUUACAGCCCCUGAUUCUUAUGCAUUUGGGAUGCAUCCAUCCCCAGUCAAGGGACAGAUCCCAGAGAUAGGUUACAUCAACGAGUGCUGCUGCAUCUCAGGUGCUUCAGGAGCCUCUUGGUUUAUUCACGGCCCAGAGCAAAUGCUUAAAAAAUUACACUGCUUUCAUGCAUUUUUUAAGAUAUCACAAGAAGAUACAGAAUAAGGUUUGGGGGGAUUUGAUUCUGAUGCUAGACAUGACUAGCUUGUGAAACUCCACAUCAAGGUCCUUCUGAUGUAUGUUGUUUAAGCCUUUUCACCCUCUAUGUGCAUUUCUUGUGAGGGUCUGAAGAUUCUUCAAAGAGAAGGGGGAGAAACAACCCUGGAAAGAUCAAAGGUUUGCUCAUCCCUGCAGUGGAGACCUUUGGCUUUGUUCUGUGUGUCAGGGCCUGCUGUGUUUUCUCCCACUUGGCUACUGGCCUUAUUUAUUCAUCAUACAAUUUACUUAAUGUGGAUGUUUACAGCAUAUGAACUCUCAGCUGUCUUGAAUUAUCCAAACUCUGUAUAGCAUUUAUAGGUACAGCUGGCAUGAAAAAUACUAUGGGAAAUAAAGUUGGGUUGGAUUGGA